rnacentral:rRNA from 1 species
AUUGAACGCUGGCGGCAUGCCUUACACAUGCAAGUCGAACGGUAACGCGGGGCAACCUGGCGACGAGUGGCGAACGGGUGAGUAAUGCAUCGGAACGUGCCCAGUAGUGGGGGAUAGCCCGGCGAAAGCCGGAUUAAUACCGCAUACGACCUACGGGUGAAAGCGGGGGAUCGCAAGACCUCGCGCUAUUGGAGCGGCCGAUGUCGGAUUAGCUAGUUGGUGGGGUAAAGGCCUACCAAGGCUACGAUCCGUAGCUGGUCUGAGAGGACGACCAGCUACACUGGGACUGAGACACGGCCCAGACUCCUACGGGAGGCAGCAGUGGGGAAUUUGGACAAUGGGCGCAAGCCUGAUCCAGCCAUGCCGCGUGCGGGAAGAAGGCCUUCGGGUUGUAAAACCGCUUUUGUCAGGGAAGAAACGGUCUGAGUUAAUACCUCGGACUAAUGACGGUACCUGAAGAAUAAGCACCGGCUAACUACGUGCCAGCAGCCGCGGUAAUACGUAGGGUGCAAGCGUUAAUCGGAAUUACUGGGCGUAAAGCGUGCGCAGGCGGCUUUGCAAGACAGAUGUGAAAUCCCCGGGCUCAACCUGGGAACUGCAUUGUGACUGCAUCGCUCGAGUGCGGCAGAGGGGGAUGGAAUUCCGCGUGUAGCAGUGAAAUGCGUAGAUAUGCGGAGGAACACCGAUGGCGAAGGCAAUCCCCUGGGCCUGCACUGACGCUCAUGCACGAAAGCGUGGGGGAGCAAACAGGAUUAGAUACCCU